UACACAAUCCAUCACUCUCUCUUCACUGAACUUUCUACUGACAGGUUAACGAAACUUCUGGGACACCGAGAAAUCCAGGAUGAAGAUAGUAAUAUGUAUUCAUGAUGUUGUCGGUGUCUGGGAUGGCACUAGCGCAGAGAGGUUAUACUUGCAAUGGUACCAGAUGUGCCUGAGUCUGCUAAUUCAGGUCUUAGAAAGAGUCUUUCUGCAGUGGUUUGAAGUCUUGGGUUGCUAGUUUUAUCUGCUUCUCAGCAGACAGGGACACCUGCCAGGAACAAGGAGGUGAUAUGCCAUUAGAUUCUCAAAAUGCCCUCUGCUGAUAAAAUAGGUUACUCAGUAAUUAACCUAGCUGAAAUUUCCACAAAGCAAGCCACAUGGACAACUUGAUAGUGGCUUUUUGUGUAGGUUUUUUUCUCCCCGUCGCCGCUAUACCAAUACGAACUCAUGGAAAAUUUCCUGACAAAUCAGAUUUUUCAACCCAGAAACUAUUAAGUUUUCGGCACCACGCUUAGGAGUGGGAAACAACCCACUCACACAAACCACUUUCAGUCUGCAGACUUUCACAAUGACAUUUCUGUGCAAAGUGUGCUCCGUCUGUCUCAGCGAAAGCUAGGAAGGGCAACCUCCCUGCUCACGAACAACAUGUGGUUUUUCUAAGAAGACCCAUAGGUGGGAAAAGGUGAUCAGAGCGAGCUGUUGGCUUUGGCAUGGUUUCCUUGGAGCCGUUCACGUUACACUCACCUGAGCCCUGCAGCCAACAACAGCCUACUUGGCUCCACCUUCUGUAUCCAGCUCAGGGCCUGGAGCUGGUAUGGACUGAAAAACAUAUUGAGAUUUGGUCCUGAUUAACCAUCUUCAGGGUCAGGAAUGCUCCUUGGGCACUGGGGUAGAAAAUCAAGCACUUGCUCUAAGCAAGCAAAAUGAAACAGUCUAUUUAUUUUUCCUCAAGGUUGCUGUACCGAAGCCUCUACUUGCUAAGUUUUUCGUUCUCUGGUAGACUGUCCCCUCUGCUGUAGGAGUGAAAGCCAUCAGUCUCUCCUAGACCACGCAGCUUUGCUCUCCCUGAGCACCAGUCAGUAGCUCGCAAUGAAGAGCUUUGCUAAGUCCUGUUCCCUGACACACUGCACUGCUUUUCUCCAGAUUUCCACACCUUGUAAAAACCAGCUAGUCAGUCACCUUUGAUGCACAACAGAGUAUUUCAGAGAACAUCUCCAUUUAAUCCCCAAAGUCAGGGCAACCUGAUAACAUAACGCACUGGAUUGAUGCAGGGCUAGAGAGGCAUCAUCUGCUCUCAACAGAUACUCCAGGAAUGACCAAGAGGCGCAAAGUGUUCUCUGGAGUUCAGCGUUAAACAGAGGCUGGUGAAGACAAGAGAGACAAGGAAGAUUAUGGUGUCUCUAACAUAAAUACUGUUGGAUGGAAUACUUUCUCCCUAAGCAAAGACAGGUCUGUGAGCAUAAGUCUCUUCUGCCCCUCCCCAUGUGAGAACAGGAGGUUACUGAAUGCUAAACACUUGCAAACUCAUCUGCAAUUUAAUGCUGAUAAGCAGAGUGAUGCCGUUCACUUGAAAACCCAGGUCUUUUCAUUGAACAUGCAAGAUGAACUCAUUGCUUGCUGUAAGGUAAUUACUAGGGACAUAAAGCACUUUUCUCAUUAAAGCUCAAUUUGCAGGUAUAUUUAUCUGCUGGCUUCUGACUCCAGAGUUUUGUUUCUCCUCUGAAGCACUGACACUGUCACCUGGACAAGCUAGGAAACCAGAAUCUUUUUGCUCUUGGUUUUACUGCCUAAUGAGACUGCCUGCAAAAUGCGCUUAGCACUGAACUUCAGUGAAAG